UACGAAGGGGGCUAGCGUUGCUCGGAAUCACUGGGCGUAAAGGGUGCGUAGGCGGGUCUUUAAGUCAGGGGUGAAAUCCUGGAGCUCAACUCCAGAACUGCCUUUGAUACUGAAGAUCUUGAGUUCGGGAGAGGUGAGUGGAACUGCGGGUGUAGAGGUGAAAUUCGUAGAUAUUCGGAGGAACACCAGUGGCGAAGGCGGCUCACUGGUCCAUUACUGACGCUGAGGUGCGAAAGCGUGGGGAGCAAACAGG
rnacentral:rRNA from 1 species